GAUGAACGCUAGCUACAGGCUUAACACAUGCAAGUCGAGGGGAAACGGCAUUUGGUGCUUGCACCAUUUGGACGUCGACCGGCGCACGGGUGAGUAACGCGUAUCCAACCUGCCCAUAAGUAGGGUAUAACCCGCAGAAAUGCGGACUAAUCCCCUAUGUUGUUCAAAGACGGCAUCAGAUUUGAACCAAAGGCUUGCCGCUUAUGGAUGGGGAUGCGUCCGAUUAGCUUGUUGGUGAGGUAACGGCUCACCAAGGCUUCGAUCGGUAGGGGUUCUGAGAGGAAGGCCCCCCACAUAGGAACUGAGACACGGUCCUAACUCCUACGGGAGGCAGCAGUGAGGAAUAUUGGUCAAUGGGCGAGAGCCUGAACCAGCCAAGUAGCGUGCAGGACGACGGCCCUAUGGGUUGUAAACUGCUUUUAUGCGGGGAUAACCGGCCUCACGUGUGAGGCCCUGCAGGUACCGCAUGAAUAAGGACCGGCUAAUUCCGUGCCAGCAGCCGCGGUAAUACGGAAGGUCCGGGCGUUAUCCGGAUUUAUUGGGUUUAAAGGGAGCGUAGGCCGUGGGUUAAGUGUGUUGUGAAAUCCGGUUGCUCAACAUCCGGUUUGCAGCGCAUACUGUCCCACUUGAGUGCGCACAACGCAGGCGGAAUUCGUCGUGUAGCGGUGAAAUGCUUAGAUAUGACGAGGAACCCCGAUUGCGAAGGCAGCUUGCGGGAGCGCAACUGACGCUUAAGCUCGAAGGUGCGGGUAUCAAACAGGAUUAGAUACCCUGGUAGUCCGCACGGUAAACGAUGGAUGCCCGCUGUUUGCUCUAUUUUGGGCAUGCGGCCAAGCGAAAGCAUUAAGCAUCCCACCUGGGGAGUACGCCGGCAACGGUGAAACUCAAAGGAAUUGACGGGGGCCCGCACAAGCGGAGGAACAUGUGGUUUAAUUCGAUGAUACGCGAGGAACCUUACCCGGGCUUGAACUGCCAGUGAACGAUACAGAGAUGUUGAGGCCCUUCGGGGCGCUGGUGGAGGUGCUGCAUGGUUGUCGUCAGCUCGUGCCGUGAGGUGUCGGCUUAAGUGCCAUAACGAGCGCAACCCUUUUCCACAGUUGCCAUCAGGUUAUGCUGGGCACUCUGUGGAUACUGCCGCCGCAAGGUGUGAGGAAGGUGGGGAUGACGUCAAAUCAGCACGGCCCUUACGUCCGGGGCUACACACGUGUUACAAUGGGGGGCACAGCGUGCCGUACGUGCGCAAGCACGUUCCAAUCAUGAAAUCCCCCCUCAGUUCGGACUGGGGUCUGCAACCCGACCCCACGAAGCUGGAUUCGCUAGUAAUCGCGCAUCAGCCAUGGCGCGGUGAAUACGUUCCCGGGCCU
rnacentral:rRNA from 1 species